UAUACCGCUUCUGCAUACAGCAUAAUGAUGCACGAGUAACCUCUCUUCAACUGUGUGAUGCCUUGAAGCAUAAAUGGGCCGGCAUGAUGAGUAUUGAGUCUUCAUGUCAGAACAUGCUUUUCUGCACUAGUCAGCAUAUCAGAUCAUGAUUUUCUUCACUUGACGUUUGUUGAACUUCAGAAGGCUGCUUCUUUGGACAUGCAAGGACUUUUAGUUAGGACUUUUUUAAAAAAAAUACUCUGUGUUAGCUGUACGAAGCAACUGAGCUAUGAGCAGCAUCCAUGGUGGACUGAUCGAGAGAGGACAGCGUGAAGGAAUGGGGGACGGGAAGUGUUAGUAUGCGUUCUGGGCCAAUCUAGUAGUUAGUGUGCCGUUGCAUACUGCUUUAUUGGCGCUUAAUUGAAAGCUUACAAUUUAUUUUUUAUGGACUUUUGCACCUUACAGACUUGGGUGAUGUGGUACUGCUUGUAGCGCGCAACAAAACUGGAGAAUGGCAAAAUACUGCAUUGUGGAGUUCAUUGAGGAAGGCUCUGUGGAAGUAGUCCCAGCUACAUGGAUUGCUGGCGACAGGUGCUCCUGGCCCCCUGGACCAGGUGACAAACCAAGUUUGGUGAAAAGGUGUCAAGCACCUGGACGAGACUAGAUGACCUACAAAAUCACUGUAAAAGGAGCAUAUGGAUGAUUUAUAUGAUUUAAUUUUCAUGAUUGAUCAUGCUAGGUGUACUACUUUUGCACGCCUUAUUUCCUUCAAACAGAAAGGUACGGAGAUGGUCGGAGAAAACUCGACCUUGCCCAGUAUACAUCAGACCUGGACUCUGGUCAGGAACCAAAAAUUACGAAAAAUACAAAAGCGUAUCAGAUAUGAGGAUGAGGACUCACAAUACAGUCCACCAGCACCACCACUGAAUUUCAGCUUUCCACUCUCCUGACGUAGAUGCACAUGGCGAAGAUGAUGCCACACUGUCCACAACAUCCAAUACCAUUAUCAGUAAUUACGACCUUGUGCAUGGUUCACCUUUUCUGCAAGUUAGCCGUCAGUGCACAAGGCUACAACAGCAGCCAACACCUGCUGUUGAAAAAGUUAUUUCCCCAAGUGGUAAGUAAUAGGCCUUCAGCACGGUUUUACUGGAAGGUUUUUGUAAUACACGUUGACCUGUGUUUCGGUCUUAAAUUUGGCCUUUCAGCUUCCAGUUACUGUCACUUCUGUCAAUCUGCUAAUCGUAUGUCAGGCUAUAGCCAAUGCGUCGAAGAGGACAGUGUCUUGCAAAAUAAUGAGUGUUCCAGCAACGUUCUGAAUUAAUCAGCUUGCACAUCAUUUACUUGUUGCUUCAGGUGUGAUGAGAGAGAGAAAAUUACAGCACACAUAUUGUUGCAAACUUCCAGCGUGAAGUGCUCACGCGGCUGACUGCUCUUCGUCUUCUGGUACAGCAGCAGACAGAGCUUUUGACGGUGCUUUCAACUAAAUACACAAAGGAGUGUGCCAUUCAAGAACAAGACAGCAUCCUGAAGGAGCGGUUUGAGAAUAUUGCAGCUUUAAGCGCUUCGACGAGUCCCUGAUUGGCUCCACUGCAGAGUCCCUGGUAGGAAUGGCACGCGUGUCUCUCACAGGAGGGCUGAAUACUCCCCAGUGGUCAGUCAUAGGGGCACUCCUUUUCUUGAUGUUUAUCAAUGAUCUGCCAGGUUGCCUUCACUUCACACGUUUAUUUACGUUCUGACGACUAUGCCUGUAUCAGACAAUUCAUGAUGAGCCAGAUUCACAGGUUUUACAGUCCUCUCAGGUUGGCAUUCAACAUGUGGCAGUUGUCACUUAAUAUUAAUAAGAGUCUUGUCCUUCAUGAGCACUCAUCCCUUUCAUUUCCCCUACCAUUUUGGCAACUCCUGUCUCCAGCACGUCACCUCUUACAAGUACCUCGGUUUGCAUUCCUAUGAGAUGUCCUGGACUAGCAAUAUUUCCUGCAAUAUCAGCCGCGCAAACAAUAUUCUCGAGUAUCUGCAUCAUAAAGUCUCCCAUUGUCUGCAUUCGGUUAAAAAUAUUAUGUAUGUUACACUUAUUAGGCCUAAACUUGAAUAUGCUUCUGCAAUAUGGGCCUUGCCCAGUUAUUAUAAAAGAGCAAUAGAAGCUCUACAAAACACUCAAUUCAUUUUAAACCACAUUUCAUUGACUACAACAAUGACAGUAGUGUUUCUCCUAUGGAAACCGAUCUGUACCUCCCUACCUUAGCUCUGUGAAGAAAGAUCUCCGGUCUCUGCCUCUUCUAUCAUAUUUUUAUAACAGACACUUGAGCACAGAUAUGUAAGCAGCUGGGGUCGAAACCGGAACUGAACCGUAACCCAAAACCGCAAAAAAUUGUAAUUUUUGUCGAACCGAACAGUAAACAAUUUUUCUCUCCCCUUGAACGAACCGAAACUGAACCAGAAAAAUAUCAUUCGGUAACCAGUUCGCCAGACGGUAAAAAUGCCUAUACCUUCCCAGUCGACUGCCGCGUACCAGCUCACUGCAUCACUCGGAAUCUUGCGGAAUUCACAGAGUGGACAAAUCGAUGAACCAAGAAGUGGUGAGUCCAUGCACCUGCAGCCCCAUGCAUGAGUCCUGCAGCCUCACCUCCGAAAGCUUCAGGACAUGCCUGUAAAUUUUUGUGGCUCGAGGUGUAAAAAAAAGAAAUUGCUACAAGAUGGAUAUACUUUACACUGUUGCCUCGGCUGCUUUCUUUCAUUCAGUGUCGCAGUGUGAAUGCGACGUAAAUUUUAAUAGUCCACAGUUAUAUCUACAAGCAACGCAGACCUCUGGCGAUCAUGGGAAAGAGUUUGGCAUGUGGUCCAGAGCAUGUAAGAAAGAAACACAGGAGCGGCCUCUCGUCCUGUUUUCAACGGGGAGCAGCGUUUUGGCCCACGUAUGGCACUCUGGGAUACUCCAAUCUACCACGUGAUCGCUUUCUUCUCUUUUUUUUUCUUUAGAAAUUGGCGAUAGCCUUUUGUAAUGGAGUGUAAUGGUAUGCUGUACGCCAUUUCCCAGCACUUUUCGAUACAGUAGAGGAUGAUCUGCUGUGAGGUGUAUGGCAAGCCAUCGCCGGAACUUGUUAUUAGUACGUCUCAAAUGUGGUACACUGAUUAGCACAGCACACGUAAACCGGUUCGGACUGGUAAGUAUCGGUUCAAACCUUUAUUUUGGUUGUGCUGAACCCGAACCGAACCGAUAACAUUGAACCAGAACUUGAACCGAACUCCAAAAAAUAACGGUUCCGAGCCAUGGUAAGCAUUGCUGCAUUAUUUCUCAGAAAUCAUUCCCUCAAGGUGGAGUUAAAACACUGAAACCAUGAUUACUUUCCUUAUUUGUGUCUUCAUUCGUUCUAACACUAGGCCACUUGGCCUAGUGUUAGAAUGAGCUUCCACAUAGCAUGGUCGCUAUCUGAGGUCCACUACCAUUCAAAUAUAUAAUAACCAGCCUUUUCUCCUCCACGCCAGCAACUGUUUCAAUGUGGUGCUUUUUGGUGCCUCUGUAUUAAGUUUAUGCCUGACUACUAGGUGUUUUACUUUCUUCAGCUGAACAUUUUAGAGUGUUUUUCGGUAUCUAUAAUAACCUUAUUUGUAUGUUUAUCUUGACUUUUCCUACUCCUACAUUGCAUUUCUGAUUUGUCUUCUUUCAGAUCUCCACAAGUUCUGUAAGUGUAUGUGUGCCCGUGCCACCUCCAACAAUAUGCAAACACAGACUGAGGAACAGACACUAGUCCUGUCUGCUCCUUCGUCCCUUUGUCUUUUGCGUCGUGUUUGCCUCAGUUAUGUAAUGCCCCUAUCUGGGCCUGAACGUAUGACCAGCUCUAAAUACAGAAGUGCUAAAGAAGUAAUACUCUAGGAAUUUUAAUGCUUUGUAGCAGGGCCAUUCCACGCCAAGUUAUCCAGAGGUGUCGCUCGACCUCCCUAGAAUUUUAUGAUUUUUUGGUGGUUCCUUAUGACUCAAAAAAGCAACAGAACAUUGGUCUUUUCUACCGAAAUUGAAAUUUAAGGGGUACACAGCCCCUCAAAGAUGCAGUGCUUUGUGAAAACGUACGUCGUUGCAAGCAGAUAUGACGGUCCACGUAAGGCACAGAGCGCGUUAAAGAGCAUCUUAUUUGACAGGGGAAAGUUCAUUUUACCGUACGCAUCACACUCCACGGGCUCUACGCUUUUGGCGUGCACGAAAUAUGCAAAUGUUGUACAAGUUCACAAAUUUGUUUGCAGUAUAAAAUUCUGGAAUUUAUUUCUCAAAAUCUUUUUGCCAUGUAGCCCCCUUCAGUCAAGGAAAGAUAUGGAGAUAAGGGUCCAUUCAGGCUUCAUGGUACCAUAUGGCUGAUUUUUGGUCGUAUGGCAUCCGGCAGUCGAGUCGUUGACAUGACUAUAGUAAUCACGACAUGAACAGUGAUAAAGUACUGCCUGCACCAAACACAAGCGUAAGUUCCUACUAUAUGCCAUUGUUCCUUUAAUUUUUGAACACAUUCCAGUAUUGGAAACAGAUCCCUUUAGCUGUCCGCUCCUCUUCCACGUAUAUAAAAGUUACUUGGUAACUGUGAUGUACGAUCUUUUCGUUUUGUGCACCAAUACUUGAGAUGUACAUAUAAAAAAAAAUGCCAGUCACGGGGGCUAUCACUUUCAAUACCAGGUAAGCUGUUUCUGGGCAUUUCUGUAACCGCCACCUAUUGUACAUUUUUAAAAAUAAACAUAGAUAUCCACCACCAGGAACUUAGUGGUGAAAACAUUCUCCACUUGUGUUCGGUGCAGGCAGUACUUGAUCACUGUUCAUAUCGUGAUUACACUACUCGUCCCUAAUUGUGGUCUGCCUUGGCCAAUUCUCGUUGUUUACGUCGUUUACACUACUCGUGUCGUGAUGACUCGACUCGACUGGCGGAUGCUGGAUGCCACACGGCCAAAAAUCAACCAUAUGGUACCAUGAAGCCUGUAUGAACCCCUAUCUUCAUGUCUUUCCUUAUCUCUCACUUACCAGCACUGCGAGCUGGCUAAAAGUUUCGUUGGAGCGCAAGAUGCCCAGCUUGAUGAGCGCUCACUGUACAAACUUCGGCUCUCAAAGGAGGCAAACACGUGUUUGCAACCAUUAUUUGCUCCUCAAUAAUGCGACUGCCUAGUGUGCCUCUGGACCACUUGGCAUGGAAUAGCACAACAGCAAAUAAGCUCCAAAUAUCUUUUAGUAAUCUUACUUUUUUGUUUUUGUUCUUGUUCAGUUAUGCGCAUGUGUCAUGCCGUGUUGUGGUCUUUCAGAUCCGUCAUUUCAGCAACAUUGGGGGCGUGAGUCCAGAAUCGUGUACGAGGCGUAUACUCAGGGCACUUAUGUCUGAUCAAGUGGCAGCAGAAUUUUCCUGGCAGGGCAGAAAAGGGAAGCAACCAUUCAGAGACCUGAAUGUUUCCAAAUGCAUUAUUGCUGCCGUCAAGGCUUCACAGAAGUGCAGCGAACACUCAGUUGAAAGUGCAGUCAAAGACUGGCUCCGCCAUGCACCCGCAAGAAGUCGGGACACAGCCAAGAGCUCUUCGGCUCACCAAAGGGCUCACAGAGGAGUGAACUAAAGUUCUCCGCCACAGACAACGGUACUCGACCGUGCACUACUACCGUACCUCAGCUCUGAUGCUCUUUUUUAACAUUUUUCCCUGUUGGACAUUUUUGCUGUUUGCCCAGUGCUUUUUGGAUAUCCUGUGUGCUGGUAACUGCUGCUCCUAGGAACCCUACACUCAGAACCAAGCUAGUCUCUUAGUGAAAAUGUUUUAUAAUGUUUUUAUAUACACAUUAUAUCCAACCCACACAAACAAAAGAGUACAAAGUGAUGUACUACAUUUUAAAUAUAUGUGCAAUUAUAUAUACAGAGUUUACAUACAUGUUUAAAGUAUGCGUGACAUGUGAUACAGGGUGUCUCAGAAAGUGUUAAAACUAUAAUGAACUAUGCCACCUAGAAUCACGUGACUAAUGGCUCAUGCGAAUGUCAUUUAAGUUUUUUCUAUGAAUUUUAAUGAACUGAGCUCUAUGUUUUGCCGAAUUUCAUGAAAACUGACACUGAUAUCGAGGAGCCCAUCAGAACAAAACACAGUCUGAACAUCAUGCAUUUCGGAAUGCUCGCAGCUUAACUCUUGGCAUCUUUUUGAGCCAGCCUGAUCGUGAGUGCGACAUAAGAAAGUUGCAGAACUCAGCCCACAUAUGGAUAGCAGAAAGAGAUGCAACUGACAUUGCUUCUCGCGUUUGGCUUCGACUGCGAUCAUACCUUCAAUUUCAAGAACUCAUUUUUUGUGUUAUCCCUCUGGGGAUUUGGUUUAGCAACCUUCUUUUGCUUUGUUAAAAAUUCGCAUAAUAAAACUUCGACCAGAUGACAUUCACAUCAGUAGGUGGUAAAAACCAAGUAAGAAGAAAUGCCAUUGACCACACGAUCCUAGGUAGCGUAGCUUGCUUACCAUAAUUCAAUUACACGUUUUCUGGGACACCUUGCAUAUGUGUGUAUUUAAUGUUUUAUGUUCUCAAUGUAUUUGCCCAAGUGCUCCACACUAACGAAAAGUACAAAGUGAUGCACAAGCGUCAUGAUAUUAGAGCUUUUUUUCUUCUUUUAUGCGGUCACUAGUCACUAUAUACGUCCAACUGCUCUGUACUUACACAGAAAGUACAAAGAUAUGUACUAUAUGUCUCAAGUACCCAGUUUGGUGCCGCUUCCACUUUGUGAACGACUACUAAAAUAUUCCAAGCAUUUUCUACUAUCUGAUACUGUAAAGUACCAAACCACAAAGUUGUGUGUAGUACACUACGAUUCAUUUAAGUGCAUUACAAGCAAUUGCAAGAGA